AGGGAUAUGACUCAGGGGUAGAGUGCUUGUCUAACAUUCAUGUUGCCCUAGGUUCAAUUCCCUGUACUUCCA
rnacentral:tRNA from 1 species